rnacentral:ncRNA from 1 species
UUGUGCAUGAACCGGUGUUCGAUAUUCUUACCCCUCUGCAAAAUAACCGCAUCCACCUCUUCUGCCCCACCAAGGGCGAAAGAGAGAUAUUGUUAUUCUGCGGGAAGGCUCUGAGAGAUCGUUCUGAAAUUAUACGGUCAUAACUUGAUCUGGAUAAUACCAGCGAAAGGAUCAUGCCUUCCCUCUCC